CUAUGCGCCUUGCCAGCCCGCUCAGGUGUGCCAGCCGCCGCGGUAAUACGGAGGAUGCGAGCGUUAUCCGGAUUAUUGGGUUUAAAGGGUGCGUAGGCGGUCCGUUAAGUCAGCGGUAAAAUUGCGGGCUCAACCCCGUCGAGCCGUUGAAACUGUCAGACUUGAGUUGGCGAGAAGUACGCGGAAUGCGCGGUGUAGCGGUGAAAUGCAUAGAUAUCGCGCAGAACUCCGAUUGCGAAGGCAGCGUACCGGCGCCACACUGACGCUGAGGCACGAAAGCGUGGGGAUCGAACAGG
rnacentral:rRNA from 1 species